rnacentral:sRNA from 1 species
GCCAAGUGUGGUGGCGCACACCUGUAACCCAAUCGGCUUGGGAGGCUGAGGCAGGAGGAUCACGAGUUCAAAGCCAGCCUCAGCAACUGUGAGGCACUAAGUAACUCAGUGAGACCCUGUCUCUA